GGGGGAGGGGGGCGUGUGCCAGGACCCUCUCGCGCGUGCGCCUCGGCCACCCGAGCGCCUCCGGAGAGCGCCAUCUUUUUGUCAGAAUCUUCACAUUGAAACGAACACUGGAGAGGCAACUUUUGCAAUUUGUAUUCAUCACUUUGCUCUUUAAACCAAGUUACACUGUUCAAGUCGUCACAUGUUUUCUGGAUGAAAAAAACAAAUGAAAUUAUAUCUACAGGGCAUUCUAAAUGUCUUAAAACAUGUUAUUAUCUUCCUUACAUAAAACUGUAAGGGAGGAAAAAGGUUAUAAAAUGAUAAUUUCUUAAAUAAUUUUUCUCAAUUAUACACAAGUUAUGAUUCAAAUGCCUUAAAUUUGCAUUAGUUUAAAACAAUGUUUUUGGAUUUCAAUGUCAGCAAAGCAAUAUAGGAUCUUCCAAUUUAAUUUUGCUGCUGUCGUUCUUUCAACAUAAGAGUAAAACUCGCAUAACAGGAUACGGCGGGAGGCCAAGGUGCUGCCCUCCCUCAGAUGUAUCGGCACUGCAACAGUUAACCACAAUAGGCACAGAGAAAGGCCAUGCUUGUUGACCAUAACAUUCAUACAAGGCACCCAGAGGACUGUGUGAAAGAGAUUGUAGAAAGACUUAAUUGUGGAAGCUCAAGGAAAAAGAUAAAGAGCUCCUUGGCAAAAAGCCAACAUUGAUAACUGCGCCUCGUAGGAAUCAAAUCAUGAGGUUCUCAGGGCUCUAUAGAAAAGAAGUUUAGGAUAUAACAAAGAGGUUUUUCCAGUAACCAUUGGGAGAUGAUGGGAGCAGAACAGUCUGAGAAUGUGAGAGCAAACAAUCAAGAGGCAAAUCUGAUGAGAGCAGAAGUCAUCCUGAUGCUAUCCUUACAAUUGUGUAUACUUAGUAAUAAACCUUGAUGUUAAUACUCUUA